UAAUACGUAGGCAGCAAGCGUUGUUCGGAGUUACUGGGCGUAAAGGGUGUGUAGGCGGUCUUCUAAGUUUGGUGUGAAAUCUCCCGGCUCAACUGGGAGGGUGCGCCGAAAACUGGGAGGCUAGAGUGCGGGAUGGGAGAGUGGAAUUCCUGGUGUAGCGGUGAAAUGCGUAGAUAUCAGGAGGAACACCUGUGGUGUAGACGGCUCUCUGGACCGCAACUGACGCUGAGACACGAAAGCGUGGGUAGCAAACAGGAUUAGAUACCCUGGUAGUCCACGCCCUAAACGAUGCAUAUUUGGUGUGGGCCAUUCAUUUGGUCUGUGCCGGAGCUAACGCGUUAAAUAUGCCGCCUGGGGAGUACGGUCGCAAGGCUG
rnacentral:rRNA from 1 species